AGGUAGCAUAAUCAUUAGUUCUUUAAUUGAGAACUUGUAUGAAAGGUUGAACAAGAGAAAGACUGUAUCUAUUAUAAAUCUUAAAUUUAACUUUUAAGUGAAAAGGCUUAAAUAAUUUAGAGGGACGAUAAGACCCUAUAAAGCUUUAUAAGUAAGUAGAAAUUUAUUGAAUUAAAAAUUGAAAACUAUAUUUCUAUUGUCUUAUUGUGUUGGGGCGACAUAAAUAUAAAUUAUUUAACUGUUUGAGAAUAAGACAUAAAUUUAUGAAUUAAAAUUAAUUGAUCCUUUUUAAAGAUUUAAGUUUAAGUUACUUUAGGGAUAACAGCGUUAUUUCUUUUGAGAGUUCUUAUCGAGAAAGAAGUUUGCGACCUCGAUGUUGAAUUAAACUAUCUUGAUGGUGCAGCAGCUAAGAGAGAAAGUCUGUUCGAC
rnacentral:rRNA from 1 species